AUUGAACGCUGGCGGCAUGCCUUACACAUGCAAGUCGAACGGUAACGGGCCUUCGGGUGCCGACGAGUGGCGAACGGGUGAGUAAAGUAUCGGAACGUACCUUUCAGUGGGGGAUAACGUAGCGAAAGUUACGCUAAUACCGCAUAUUCUGUGAGCAGGAAAGCAGGGGAUCGCAAGACCUUGCGCUGAUUGAGCGGCCGAUAUCAGAUUAGCUAGUUGGUGAGGUAAAGGCUCACCAAGGCGACGAUCUGUAGCGGGUCUGAGAGGAUGAUCCGCCACACUGGAACUGAGACACGGUCCAGACUCCUACGGGAGGCAGCAGUGGGGAAUUUUGGACAAUGGGGGCAACCCUGAUCCAGCCAUGCCGCGUGAGUGAAGAAGGCCUUCGGGUUGUAAAGCUCUUUCGGCCGGAAAGAAAUCGUAUCAGCUAAUACCUGGUGCGGAUGACGGUACCGGCAUAAGAAGCACCGGCUAACUACGUGCCAGCCGCCGCCGUAACAC
rnacentral:rRNA from 1 species